AGACGUCUACUAUUAGACUACCCGGUAGUCCUAGCCGUAAACGAUACUCGCUAGGUGUCGGCCACGGUGCGACCGUUGUCGGUGCCGUAGGGAAGCCGUGAAGCGAGCCACCUGGGAAGUACGGCCGCAAGGCUGAAACUUAAGGAAUUGGCGGGGAGCACCACAACGGGUGGGCCUGCGGUUUAAUCGGACUCAACGCCGGGAAUCUCACCGGAUAAGACAGCUGAAUGAUAGUCGGGAUGAAGACUCUACUUGACUAGCUG
rnacentral:rRNA from 1 species